AUGCCUACUUUUUUUGAAACAUUUCCGGUCGUUUUGGUAGAUGAACAAGUAGGUGUAACGGUGGAGUUCUAUGGCGGCGAACUUAAUGGAGUAAGUUAUGCUAAUCCUGCUACUGUAAAAAAAUAUGCGAGGCGUUCUCAAUUAGGGGAAAUUUUUGAAUUAGAUCGGGCUACUUUGAAAUCUGAUGGUGUUUUUCGCAGCAGUCCAAGGGGUUGGUUCACUUUUGGUCAUGCUACCUUUGCUUUGCUCUUCUUUUUUGGACACAUUUGGCAUGGCGCUAGAACAUUGUUCCGAGAUGUUUUUGCUGGUAUUGAUCCAGAUUUGGAUGCUCAAGUGGAAUUUGGAACAUUCCAAAAAGUGGGAGAUCCAACUACAAGGAAACAGGCAGUCUGA
rnacentral:rRNA from 1 species